rnacentral:rRNA from 1 species
AGAGUUUGAUCCUGGCUCAGGAUGAACGCUAGCGGCAGGCUUAACACAUGCAAGUCGAGGGGCAGCGGGGAGGAAGCUUGCUUUCUCCGCCGGCGACCGGCGCACGGGUGAGUAACACGUAUGCAACCUGCCCCUGUCAGGGGGACAACCCGCCGAAAGGCGGGCUAAACCCGCGUACAUGCCACCGGGGCAUCCCGGAGGCAGGAAAGGCUUCGGCCGGACAGGGAUGGGCAUGCGGCGCAUUAGGCAGUAGGCGGGGUAACGGCCCACCUAACCGACGAUGCGUAGGGGUUCUGAGAGGAAGGUCCCCCACACUGGUACUGAGACACGGACCAGACUCCUACGGGAGGCAGCAGUGAGGAAUAUUGGUCAAUGGUCGGGAGACUGAACCAGCCAAGCCGCGUGAGGGGGGAAGGUACAGAGUAUCGUAAACCUCUUUUGUCAGGGAACAAAGGCGGGGACGUGUCCCCGGAUGAGUGUACCUGAAGGAAAAGCAUCGGCUAACUCCGUGCCAGCAGCCGCGGUAAUACGGAGGAUGCGAGCGUUAUCCGGAUUUAUUGGGUUUAAAGGGUGCGCAGGCGGUCUGUUAAGUCAGCGGUCAAAGCCCGGGGCUCAACCCCGGCCCGCCGUUGAAACUGGCAGUCUCGAGUUGGAGAGAAGUAUGCGGAAUGCGCGGUGUAGCGGUGAAAUGCAUAGAUAUCGCGCAGAACUCCGAUUGCGAAGGCAGCAUGCCGGCUCCACACUGACGCUGAGGCACGAAAGCGUGGGUAUCGAACAGGAUUAGAUACCCUGGUAGUCCACGCAGUAAACGAUGAAUGCUUGGCUGUCCGGGGGGAUUGACCCCUGGGUGGCCGAAGUGAAAGCGAUAAGCAUUCCACAUGGGGAGUACGCCGGCAACGGGAUGACUCAAAGGAAUUGACGGGGGCCCGCACAAGCGGAGGGACAUGUGGUUUAAUUCGAUGAUACGCGAGGAACCUUACCCGGGCUCAAACGGGGAGUGACUCAGGCAGAGACGCCUGUUUCCCACGGGACACUCCCCGAGGUGCUGCAUGGUUGUCGUCAGCUCGUGCCGUGAGGUGUCGGCUUAAGUGCCAUAACGAGCGCAACCCCCGCGUGCAGUUGCUAACAGAUAACGCUGAGGACUCUGCACGGACUGCCGGCGCAAGCCGCGAGGAAGGCGGGGAUGACGUCAAAUCAGCACGGCCCUUACGUCCGGGGCGACACACGUGUUACAAUGGGUGGUACAGCGGGAAGCCAGGCGGCGACGCCGAGCGGAACCCGAAAUCCACUCUCAGUUCGGAUCGGAGUCUGCAACCCGACUCCGUGAAGCUGAUUCGCUAGUAAUCGCGCAUCAGCCAUGGCGCGGUGAAUACGUUCCCGGGCCUUGCACUCAAAGCCCGUCA